GGUGAAUGGUGUGCACUGUUUUAGUCUGUGUUAUGUGUUGUUGCUCAUCUGCGUUUUGCAGGCAGAGCAGCAGCGCUCACUCCGCACUGUCAGCCAUAGAACAACAGGAGAUCAUAGUACUGGCCCUUGACGUCUCUUACUGACAUCUCACCAUCGGUCAGCCUCCAAACUCUCCUACAACA